rnacentral:rRNA from 1 species
GAUCAUGGCUCAGGACGAACGCUGGCGGCGUGCCUAAUACAUGCAAGUAGAACGCUGAAGGAGGAGCUUGCUUCUCUGGAUGAGUUGCGAACGGGUGAGUAACGCGUAGGUAACCUGCCUGGUAGCGGGGGAUAACUAUUGGAAACGAUAGCUAAUACCGCAUAAUAGUAGAUGUUGCAUGACAUUUGCUUAAAAGGUGCAAUUGCAUUACUACCAGAUGGACCUGCGUUG